AAUGCUACCUCGAUGUUGAAUUAAGAAAAGAUCUAAUAGAAAAAAAUUAGAUUAUAGGUCUGUUCGACCUUUAAAUUCUUACAUGAUUUGAGUUAAGACCGGUGUAAGCCAGGUUGGUUUCUAUCUUCAUAAUAGAAGUUUUUAUAGUACGAAAGGACCUAAAAACUUAAUUUUAUUAAUUAAUUAGCUUAUAUAAAGCAAGUAUUUUGAAAAUACUAGAAAGAUUUAAAAAUUUAUUAAUUUUAUGU
rnacentral:misc_RNA from 1 species